AUUUAAAUAAUUUAAUUAAAAUAUUGAUUUGUGGAGUCAAAAAUGUAUAUUAUAAUUUACUUUAAAUA
rnacentral:tRNA from 1 species